GGAUGAACGCUGGCGGCGUGCCUAAUACAUGCAAGUCGAACGAGUUCUGAUUAUUGAAAGGUGCUUGCAUCUUGAUUUAAUUUUGAACGAGUGGCGGACGGGUGAGUAACACGUGGGUAACCUGCCCUUAAGUGGGGGAUAACAUUUGGAAACAGAUGCUAAUACCGCAUAAAUCCAAGAACCGCAUGGUUCUUGGCUGAAAGAUGGCGUAAGCUAUCGCUUUUGGAUGGACCCGCGGCGUAUUAGCUAGUUGGUGAGGUAACGGCUCACCAAGGCAAUGAUACGUAGCCGAACUGAGAGGUUGAUCGGCCACAUUGGGACUGAGACACGGCCCAAACUCCUACGGGAGGCAGCAGUAGGGAAUCUUCCACAAUGGACGCAAGUCUGAUGGAGCAACGCCGCGUGAGUGAAGAAGGCUUUCGGGUCGUAAAACUCUGUUGUUGGAGAAGAAUGGUCGGCAGAGUAACUGUUGUCGGCGUGACGGUAUCCAACCAGAAAGCCACGGCUAACUACGUGCCAGCAGCCGCGGUAAUACGUAGGUGGCAAGCGUUAUCCGGAUUUAUUGGGCGUAAAGCGAGCGCAGGCGGUUUUUUAAGUCUGAUGUGAAAGCCCUCGGCUUAACCGAGGAAGUGCAUCGGAAACUGGGAAACUUGAGUGCAGAAGAGGACAGUGGAACUCCAUGUGUAGCGGUGAAAUGCGUAGAUAUAUGGAAGAACACCAGUGGCGAAGGCGGCUGUCUGGUCUGUAACUGACGCUGAGGCUCGAAAGCAUGGGUAGCGAACAGGAUUAGAUACCCUGGUAGUCCAUGCCGUAAACGAUGAAUGCUAGGUGUUGGAGGGUUUCCGCCCUUCAGUGCCGCAGCUAACGCAUUAAGCAUUCCGCCUGGGGAGUACGACCGCAAGGUUGAAACUCAAAGGAAUUGACGGGGGCCCGCACAAGCGGUGGAGCAUGUGGUUUAAUUCGAAGCAACGCGAAGAACCUUACCAGGUCUUGACAUCUUUUGAUCACCUGAGAGAUCAGGUUUCCCCUUCGGGGGCAAAAUGACAGGUGGUGCAUGGUUGUCGUCAGCUCGUGUCGUGAGAUGUUGGGUUAAGUCCCGCAACGAGCGCAACCCUUAUGACUAGUUGCCAGCAUUUAGUUGGGCACUCUAGUAAGACUGCCGGUGACAAACCGGAGGAAGGUGGGGAUGACGUCAAAUCAUCAUGCCCCUUAUGACCUGGGCUACACACGUGCUACAAUGGAUGGUACAACGAGUUGCGAGACCGCGAGGUCAAGCUAAUCUCUUAAAGCCAUUCUCAGUUCGGACUGUAGGCUGCAACUCGCCUACACGAAGUCGGAAUCGCUAGUAAUCGCGGAUCAGCACGCCGCGGUGAAUACGUUCCCGGGCCUUGUACACACCGCCCGUCACACCAUGAGAGUUUGUAACACCCGAAGCCGGUGGCGUAACCCUUUUAGGGAGCGAGCCGUCUAAGGUGGGACAAAUGAUU
rnacentral:rRNA from 1 species